CCUGCUGUGAACUUGCACUUGGAGCCCUGA
rnacentral:piRNA from 1 species